AAACUUAGGUUAAGCCAAACCCAGAACCUUCAAAGCUCUCAAUAGCAGUUAAAUUCUUCUAGUUUCUG
rnacentral:tRNA from 1 species